AUUUUGGUGGCUGAAUUAUAGGCGGUAGAUUGUAAAUCUAUUUAUGGUUAAUGACCUCAUUGUA
rnacentral:tRNA from 1 species